rnacentral:rRNA from 1 species
AAAUUGAAGAGUUUGAUCAUGGCUCAGAUUGAACGCUGGCGGCAGGCCUAACACAUGCAAGUCGAACGGUAACAGGAAGCAGCUUGCUGCUUCGCUGACGAGUGGCGGACGGGUGAGUAACGUCUGGGAAACUGCCUGAUGGAGGGGGAUAACUACUGGAAACGGUGGCUAAUACCGCAUAACGUCGCAAGACCAAAGAGGGGGACCUUCGGGCCUCUUGCCAUCAGAUGUGCCCAGAUGGGAUUAGCUUGUUGGUGAGGUAACGGCUCACCAAGGCGACGAUCCCUAGCUGGUCUGAGAGGAUGACCAGCCACACUGGAACUGAGACACGGUCCAGACUCCUACGGGAGGCAGCAGUGGGGAAUAUUGCACAAUGGGCGCAAGCCUGAUGCAGCCAUGCCGCGUGUAUGAAGAAGGCCUUCGGGUUGUAAAGUACUUUCAGCGGGGAGGAAGGUGUUGUGGUUAAUAACC